rnacentral:misc_RNA from 1 species
UUGAGAUUAUUCAUACACGUGAACGUAUUAUGCUUGGCGCGCUCUGAUGGGGGCGCCGAAAUUAACGCAUAUAAUUGUCUGAUAGACCAAAGAAAUUUAA